GGGCCCGCACAAGCGGUGGAGUAUGUGGUUUAAUUCGAUGCAACGCGAAGAACCUUACCUACACUUGACAUGCUGAGAAGUUACUAGAGAUAGUUUCGUGCCUUCGGGAACUCAGACACAGGUGCUGCAUGGCUGUCGUCAGCUCGUGUCGUGAGAUGUUGGGUUAAGUCCCGCAACGAGCGCAACCCUUAUCCUUAGUUGCCAGCACGUUUGGGUGGGCACUCUAAGGAAACUGCCGGUGCUAAGCCGGAGGAAGGCGGGGAUGACGUCAAGUCCUCAUGGCCCUUACGUCCUGGGCCACACACGUGCUACAAUGGUGGGGACAGAGAGCAGCCACUCCGCGAGGAGGAGCGAAUCUUCAAACCCCAUCACAGUUCGGAUCGCAGUCUGCAACUCGACUGCGUGAAGCUGGAAUCGCUAGUAAUCG
rnacentral:rRNA from 1 species